rnacentral:rRNA from 1 species
ACUCCUACGGGUGGCUGCAGUGGGGAAUAUUGCGCAAUGGGGGGAACCCUGACGCAGCCAUGCCGCGUGAAUGAAGAAGGCCUUCGGGUUGUAAAGUUCUUUCGGUAUUGAGGAAGGUUGAUGUGUUAAUAGCACAUCAAAUUGACGUUAAAUACAGAAGAAGCACCGGCUAACUCCGUGCCAGCAGCCGCGGUAAUACGGAGGGUGCGAGCGUUAAUCGGAAUAACUGGGCGUAAAGGGCACGCAGGCGGUUAUUUAAGUGAGGUGUGAAAGCCCUGGGCUUAACCUAGGAAUUGCAUUUCAGACUGGGUAACUAGAGUACUUUAGGGAGGGGUAGAAUUCCACGUGUAGCGGUGAAAUGCGUAGAGAUGUGGAGGAAUACCGAAGGCGAAGGCAGCCCCUUGGGAAUGUACUGACGCUCAUGUGCGAAAGCGUGGGGAGCAAACAGGAUUAGAUACCCUGGUAGUCCACGCUGUAAACGCUGUCGAUUUGGGGGUUGGGGUUUAACUCUGGCGCCCGUAGCUAACGUGAUAAAUCGACCGCCUGGGGAGUACGGCCGCAAGGUUAAAACUCAAAUGAAUUGACGGGGGCCCGCACAAGCGGUGGAGCAUGUGGUUUAAUUCGAUGCAACGCGAAGAGCCUUACCUACUCUUGACAUCCUAAGAAGAGCUCAGAGAUGAGCUUGUGCCUUCGGGAACUUAGAGACAGGUGAUGCAUGGAUGUCGUCAGCUCGUG